GAUGAACGCUGGCGGCGUGCCUAAUACAUGCAAGUCGAGCGAACGGACGAGAAGCUUGCUUCUCUGAUGUUAGCGGCGGACGGGUGAGUAACACGUGGAUAACCUACCUAUAAGACUGGGAUAACUUCGGGAAACCGGAGCUAAUACCGGAUGAUAUUUUGAACCGCAUGGUUCAAAAGUGAAAGACGGUCUUGCUGCCACUUAUAGAUGGAUCCGCGCUGCAUUAGCUAGUUGGUAAGGUAACGGCUUACCAAGGCAACGAUGCAUAGCCGACCUGGGAGGGUGAUCGGCCACACUGGAACUGAGACACGGUCCAGACUCCUACGGGAGGCAGCAGUAGGGAAUCUUCCGCAAUGGGCGAAAGCCUGACGGAGCAACGCCGCGUGAGUGAUGAAGGUCUUCGGAUCGUAAAACUCUGUUAUUAGGGAAGAACAUAUGUGUAAGUAACUGUGCACAUCUUGACGGUACCUAAUCAGAAAGCCACGGCUAACUACGUG
rnacentral:rRNA from 1 species